rnacentral:rRNA from 1 species
UACGUAGGGGGCAAGCGUUGUCCGGAUUUAUUGGGCGUAAAGAGCGUGUAGGCGGCCACACAGGUCAGCUGUGAAAACUCGAGGCUCAACCUCGAGACGUCGGUUGAAACCGUAUGGCUAGAGUCCGGAAGAGGAGAGUGGAAUUCCCGGUGUAGCGGUGAAAUGCGCAGAUAUCGGGAAGAACACCCGUGGCGAAGGCGGCUCUCUGGGCCGACAUUGACGCUGAGGAGCGAAAGCGUGGGGAGCGAACAGG